AUUCUACUCCCUCCAUUGCACAAUACAUGCCUUCUAUUUGUCAAAAUAUAUAUGUAUCUAGACAUGUUUUAGUAUAUAGGUACAUCCAUUUUUGGAAAAAUGGAAGUCAAGUAUUUUGGAAUGGAGGGAGUACACA
rnacentral:pre_miRNA from 1 species